rnacentral:rRNA from 1 species
CUGACGAGUGGCGGACGGGUGAGUAAUGCUUGGGAAUCUGGCUUAUGGAGGGGGAUAACUAUGGGAAACUGUAGCUAAUACCGCGUAGUGUCGAGAGAUGAAAGUGCGGGACCGAAAGGCCGCAUGCCAUAGGAUGAGCCCAAGUGGGAUUAGGUAGUUGGUGAGGUAAUGGCUCACCAAGCCUGCGAUCUCUAGCUGGUCUGAGAGGAUGACCAGCCACACUGGAACUGAGACACGGUCCAGACUCCUACGGGAGGCAGCAGUGGGGAAUAUUGCGCAAUGGGGGGAACCCUGACGCAGCCAUGCCGCGUGAAUGAAGAAGGCCUUCGGGUUGUAAAGUUCUUUCGGUAUUGAGGAAGGGAUGUGUGCUAAUAAUACAUAUCAUUGACGUUAAAUACAGAAGAAGCACCGGCUAACUCCGUGCCAGCAGCCGCGGUAAUACGGAGGGUGCGAGCGUUAAUCGGAAUAACUGGGCGUAAAGGGCACGCAGGCGGUUAUUUAAGUGAGGUGUGAAAGCCCCGGGCUUAACCUGGGAAUUGCAUUUCAGACUGGGUAACUAGAGUACUUUAGGGAGGGGUAGAAUUCCACGUGUAGCGGU